CCCGCCCGCGACCCCGGACCCGGGCGCCACGACCCUGGGGGCCGAUUCUCUCCCGGGCCGGGCCGGGCCGGGCCGGGCCGGGGGUGGGGUGGGGGGGCGGUCUGCCUCUGCUGGAAAACUCUCGUAGCCGACUCACCACCUCCUGAGACUGCUCCCUGAAGCUCGUUUUAAAGGCGUUUCUUUGCACCGAGUAGAAACUUGUUGCCUUCAGCCUUUCACCCUUUGGUUCCACUGUUUGACGCCGAGAGAAUCAACCUAAACCCUCUCCUCCAGGAAGAACCAACAGUCCUUCAAGGGCAGGCCAGGCCAGAUGUUUUCCAACUUUUGUUUCACUAGUCUCACAACACAAGGAUAUUUUAAUUUGUGAAAUCUCAUGUGGAGAAUUGUAGGAGGCUAUGAUGCUCCAAAAGAGAAGAAAUAUCCAUAGAGCUAGAGAAAAACACCUCUGGGAAACAACAGUUCAUUAACAGUUCAUUGAAGUGCAUUAAACUAUCCAAG